rnacentral:rRNA from 1 species
UACGGGGGGAGCAAGCGUUGUUCGGAUUUACUGGGCGUAAAGGGCGCGUAGGCGGCCACCGCAAGUCAGUUGUGAAAUCUCUGGGCUUAACCCAGAAAGGUCAACUGAUACUGCGGGGCUAGAGUGCAGAAGGGGCAACUGGAAUUCUCGGUGUAGCGGUGAAAUGCGUAGAUAUCGAGAGGAACACCUGCGGCGAAGGCGGGUAGCUGGGCCGACACUGACGCUGAGGCGCGAAAGCCAGGGGAGCGAACGGG